AGUGAACGCUGGCGGCAGGCCUAAUACAUGCAAGUCGAACGGCAGCACAGCAGAGCUUGCUCUGUGGGUGGCGAGUGGCGGACGGGUGAGGAAUACAUGGGAAUCUGCCCAGUCGUGGGGGAUAACGUAUGGAAACGUACGCUAAUACCGCAUGCGCCCUACGGGGGAAAGUCGGGGACCGCAAGGCCUGACGCGAUUGGAUGAGCCCAUGUUCGAUUAGCUAGUUGGCGGGGUAAAGGCCCACCAAGGCGACGAUCGAUAGCUGGUCUGAGAGGAUGAUCAGCCACACUGGAACUGAGACACGGUCCAGACUCCUACGGGAGGCAGCAGUAGGGAAUAUUGGACAAUGGGGGCAACCCUGAUCCAGCCAUGCCGCGUGAGUGAAGAAGGCCCUCGGGUUGUAAAGCUCUUUUGUCCGGAAAGAAAAGCAAUCGGUUAAUACCCGGUUGUUCUGACGGUACCGGAAGAAUAAGCACCGG
rnacentral:rRNA from 1 species